rnacentral:rRNA from 1 species
UACGUAGGGGGCAAGCGUUGUCCGGAAUCAUUGGGCGUAAAGAGCGUGUAGGCGGUUCGGUAAGUCGGCUGUGAAAGUCCAGGGCUCAACCCUGGGAUGCCGGUCGAUACUGCCGGACUAGAGUUCGGAAGAGGCGAGUGGAAUUCCCGGUGUAGCGGUGAAAUGCGCAGAUAUCAGGAGGAACACCGGUGGCGAAGGCGGGUCUCUGGGCCGAAACUGACGCUGAGGAGCGAAAGCGUGGGGAGCGAACAGG